GACGAACGCUGGCGGCAUGCCUAAUACAUGCAAGUCGAACGGUUUAACACUUCGGUGUUGAAUAGUGGCGGACGGGUGAGUAACGCGUGGGCAACCUGCCCCAAAGACUGGGAUAACACCUCGAAAGGGGUGCUAAUACCGGAUGUGGUCCAACUAUCGCAUGGUAGUUGGAAGGAAGGCUUCGGCCACUUUGGGAUGGGCCCGCGUCUGAUUAGCUAGUUGGUGGGGUAAAGGCCUACCAAGGCGACGAUCAGUAGCCGACCUGAGAGGGUGAUCGGCCACACUGGGACUGAGACACGGCCCAGACUCCUACGGGAGGCUG
rnacentral:rRNA from 1 species